UGAGUAUUUCUUAAUUAUAUGGUACCACCUUAAACCUUUCCGAACUAAGAAGUGAAACAUAUAAAAGAUGACGAUACUAUAAGGGAGGCCUUAUGGGAAAAUAAUUGAAUGCUCUA
rnacentral:rRNA from 1 species